rnacentral:lncRNA from 1 species
CCUCAUCUACUCUAGCAAUUAUGAACGCCUUUUCUAUUUCAUUCACCCAUGUCUGGGCUUCUGUAGGGUCAGCUGAUCCUCUGAACUCUGGUGGUCCUACUGCUUUGAAGUCUUUGAAUUUCGCCAAGCGAUUGUCUGGUUGGUUCCCUGCAGCUGGUAUUCCUUGCUGCAUAGCCUGAGCCAUCAUGUUUGCAAAGUUUU